CGGGACGGGUGAGUAAUGUCUGGGAAACUGCCUGAUGGAGGGGGAUAACUACUGGAAACGGUAGCUAAUACCGCAUAACGUCGCAAGACCAAAGAGGGGACUUCGGGCCUCUUGCCAUCGGAUGUGCCCAGAUGGGAUUAGCUAGUAGGUGGGGUAACGGCUCACCUAGGCGACGAUCCCUAGCUGGUCUGAGAGGAUGACCAGCCACACUGGAACUGAGACACGGUCCAG
rnacentral:rRNA from 1 species